rnacentral:rRNA from 1 species
UACGGGGGGGGCAAGCGUUGUUCGGAAUUACUGGGCGUAAAGGGCUUGUAGGUGGCCAACUAAGUCAGACGUGAAAUCCCUCGGCUUAACCCGGGAACUGCGUCCGAUACUGGAAGGCUUGAAUCCGGGAGAGGGAUGCGGAAUUCCAGGUGUAGCGGUGAAAUGCGUAGAUAUCUGGAGGAACACCGGUGGCGAAGGCGGCAUCCUGGACCGGCAUUGACGCUGAGGCGCGAAAGCCAGGGGAGCAAACGGG